rnacentral:siRNA from 1 species
AAGUAAAAUGUCUUUCAGAUGCU